CUUGGUCAUUUAGAGGAGUCGGAAAGUGUCAUUGAUUGUGCAAGGAUAGCGCUUCUACAAUUCCUGUAGACCGUAUACUCGGGCAGGAGCUUUGCCAAAGGGUCCCCAUGCCCCCUAAUAACCCCACAGCUUAAUGUGAAGCUCAAUGUAAUACCUUGGGUAAAAAAACCGAACAACUGUUAACAAUGAAUAUCUUGGUUCUC
rnacentral:misc_RNA from 1 species